rnacentral:rRNA from 1 species
UACGUAGGGUGCGAGCGUUAAUCGGAAUUACUGGGCGUAAAGCGUGCGCAGGCGGUUCGUUAAGUCAGAUGUGAAAGCCCUGGGCUCAACCUGGGAAUGGCAUUGGAUACUGGCGAUCUAGAGUGCGGUAGAGGGCAGUGGAAUUCCCGGUGUAGCAGUGAAAUGCGUAGAGAUCGGGAGGAACAUCUGUGGCGAAGGCGACUGCCUGGACCAGCACUGACACUGAGGCACGAAAGCGUGGGGAGCAAACAGG